AGGGGGUGACGUGAGUUUAUGUUAGUAUGACACGUGGAAAGAGAAGACUUGGCUUGUGGCAGACGCGUGGUGUCUCUAAAUUAGGCUUGUGCCUGCAUUAUGGCUUCGUGUAAAUUAUCUAACGUAUAAGAAUAUGAUAAGAAAACCCCGUGACACAGAGGUUUGAAAAAAUGUCGAUUGAUGAUCACAAUUUAUACAAUGUUUAUCGUUUCACAGUUUCAGGUUUUGGCGUCAAACAACCUACCACAAACCCUUUAACGAGAGACCUUCUAAUUCCACAGGAAGGUUAGGACUUAGGAGAAUCAUCCAGCUUUCUCCUUAAACCACCUAGCUGACUCCUUUUACGUUCAAUCAUAUCACAGGCAAGUCAUAUAAAUGAAACUGAGACUGAAGUUGA
rnacentral:lncRNA from 1 species